GCGCGCCUUUCGCCACCGGAGGGAGACAAACACACACGGCGGCUUCUUCCCCGUUCACUCUCCCUCCGCCUGCAAUGCGCGCAUUUCACCACUGGAUGGAGACAAACACAUACGGCGGCUUCUUCCCCAUUCACUCUCUCUCCGCCUGCAAUGCGCGCCUUUCGCCACCGGAGGGAGACAGAGAGCGGCGCCUCCGCCCUCCCCCUUCCUCGCAAAAGAAGGCGGGGCCAUACUAGGAACCAUAGACGUCUCCAUAGGUGUCCCAGACGGGCCGUGUGCCGAGCGUGGUCCCGAUCCGGUGUCAGCGUGGCUCCGUGCCUUCUGAGCGGCAACUCCCUAGGCCAAGGCCAAUUCCCAGGAACCUCAGCGGUAACCUCUCAACAAGCUUUGAGAAGAAGACCCUGUGAGAGCCUUGCCAGCGGAUGCCUCGGGGCUGAAAUGAAGGCUCACCGCACGGGCAGGAACAAGGAAGACGUAGGAGAGAGACCUAUCUCAGGCGACAUCCUUGGAGGAAAGAGAGGAUUGUGCUGUUGAAAGAGGCGCCGGGAAAGAGACCAGGAAGAGGAAAUCCUGUGCUGUUCGGGAGUUCAGAACUGAGAACUUCUGGCAUAAUAUUUGAUUCAUAAAUAAGAAAAGAACGGAAAAUCUCCAUCCCUAUUACACGUCACCUUCAGGGGAGAAGCUACAUGAGUGUAUCGACUGUGGGAAAUGUUUCCUGGGGAUAAGUUCUCUUACUAAACAUCAAGACAUUCAUGCAGGAGAGAAACCAUAUACGUGCCUGGAAUGUGAGAAAGGCUUCAAUCAUAGUGGAGAUCUGCGUUUCCACCAAAGGACCCACAUCACGGAGAAGCCAUAUCAAUGCAUGGAAUGUGGGAAGAGUUUCAUUUCGAGUGAACUGCUGCGUUCCCAUCAAAGGGCCCACACAGGGGAGAAGCCACAUCAAUGUCUGGAAUGUGGGAAGAGCUUUAGUGGGAGUGGACACCUGCGUUCCCAUCAAAGGACCCACACGGGGGAGAAGCCAUAUCAAUGCAGGGAAUGCGGAAAGAGUUUCAGUGAAAGGGAAGGGCAGUUCUGCAUUCCCAUGAAAGGACCCACACAGGGGAGAAACCAUAUCAAUGCUUGGAAUGUGGAAUGAGCUUCAGUCGGAGUGGAAAUCUGCAUUCCCAUCAAAGGACCCACACAGGGGAGAAGCGACAUCAGUGCCUGGAAUGUGGGAAGAGCUUUACUCAGAGUGGACAUUUGCGUUCCCAUCAAAGGACCCACACGGGGGAGAAGCCAUAUCAAUGCAUGGAAUGUGGAAAGAGCUUCAGUCACAGUGGAAAUCUGCAUUCCCAUGAAUUGACCCACACAGGACAGAAGCCACAUCAAUGCAUUGAAUGUGGAAAGACCUUCAGUCAGCGUGGAAAUCUGCGUUCCCACCAAAGGACCCACACAGGGGAGUAGCCAAUAGCCACAUCAAUGCAUUCAGUGUAGAAAGAGCUUCAGUCAGAAUUAAGAUCUGCAUUCCCAUCAAAGACCCACAUGGGGAGAAGCCACAUCAACACAUAGAAUGUGGAAAUAGAUUCAUUCAUAGAAUCCUAGAGUUGGAAGAGACGUUGUAGGCCAUCCGGUCCAACCCCAUAAUUAAAGGAGCUGCGGUGGUGCAGGGGGUUAAACCACUAAACUGCUGAACUUGAUGACUGGAAGGUUGGCGGUUCAAAUCCAUGGGAUAGGGUGAGCUCCCUCUGUUAGCCCCAGCUUCGGCCAAACUAUUAUUUCGAAAACAUGCAAAUAUGAGUCGAUCAAUAGGUACUGCUCUGGUGGGAAGGUAACAGCGCUCUAUGCAGUCAUGCCUAUGGCCACGUGGCCUUGGAGGCGUCUACGGACAAGGCCGGCUCUUUGGUUUAGAAAUGGAGAUGAGCACCUUCUCCAAGGGUUGGACACGACUUGACUUAAUGUCAGGGGAAAACCUUUAACUUUACCUAGAGAUAUAGAUGUAUCACCCAAAGUAUUGAUUAUUCAUUGCAUAAAAAUACAUUAGCAUUUCUAUGAAUUGGCAAGUAUUACUGUGCUAUCAAAGCACUUCCCCCCAAAAUAGGAUUAUUCAUUGGUUAAAGUAUAUAUCAAAAAUAUGAAUGUAAGUCGCAGUCUUUUUCAUAUAUAAUGAAUCACCCAAAUAAGGACAAAUUAUUUCUGUGAAUAUUUCUGCAAAUAUUUAAUGACCAUUUCUGUGUAUAUUUCCCUGGAUAUUCUAUUACUUGUAUCCUUUUCUUUCCUCUGCAAUGUACUAUCUUGAGUUGCCACUAGAAUUGGAUGAUCUGAUAUGGAAAAUGAUCUGAUAGCAGUCUUAGGAAUACAACUCAUAAUCACAAUACUAAUGUCCAUAAUAAUGAUGAUGAUGAUGAUAAUAAUGUUUGACGAAAAACAACAGGAAAAACUCAGUCGCUCUCAGGACCUCAAGAUUGAACUGCAAAGACUCUGGCAGAAACCAGUGAAGGUGGUCCCGGUGGUGAUGGGCACACUGGGUGCCGUGCCAAAACAUCUCAGCCGGCAUUUGGAAACAAUAGACAUUGACAAAAUUACAAUCUGCCAACUGCAAAAGGCCACCCGACUGGGAUCUGCGCGCAUCACCCAAAAAUACAUCACUCAGUCCUGGACACUUGGGAAGUGUUCGACUUGUGGUUUUGUGAUAUGAAAUCCAGCAUGUCUAUCUUGUUUGCUGUGUCAUAAAAUAAUAAUAAUUAUUAUUAUAAUAUAUAAAUAAUAAUUAUAAUAAUCCGAAAAUACAUCACACAGUUCUAGACACUU